ensembl:lncRNA
CCUCCAUCCAUGGGAUUUUCCAGGCAAGAGUACUGGAGUGGGGUGCCAUUGCCUUCUCCAAUCAGUCCCCAUAAGAGCCCAUCAAAUGCAAAUUCUCAGGUCCUGCCCCCACAAUGUUCUGAUUAAGUUUUUUCAUAGUAUUUUCUCAUAAAGUACAAAAGAUUUUCUCAUAAUCAUGUAAGAGCACAGAAAAUCUAAAAGAAGAAUAACACAAAAAGUGCCUUUCUCACAUAAAAGAAGUUUGCAAGAGUCAAUAAUAGGGCUGGUGAAGUAGUUUUAAGAAAUCAUCAGAACCAGCGUUCCUUUUAUUUCAUUGCUCUUCCUUGCUUGGAAUUCUGCCUGGGAUGUAAGAUAGUUGAUCAAGCUUCCGCCAUCACAUCUGUUCAGUUCAGUCGCUCAGUCGUGUCCGACUCUUUGCGACCCCAUGAAUCGCAGCACGCCAGGCCUCCCUGUCCAUCACCAACUCCCGGAGUUCACUCAGACUCAGGUCCAUCGAGUUGGUGAUGCCAUCCAGCCAUCUCAUCCUCUGUCGUCCCCUUCUCCUGCCCCCAAUCACAUCUUCAGGGUCUUAAGAUGUCUUCCACAGCCCCAGUCAUCACACCAUGGCAUUCAGAAGCAAGACACAGGGCUUCGAAGAGCUGAGCAUUUCUGGUCAAGAGCUGUCCUCUGAUCAGGGAGGAAAGGUCUUUCUCAAGGACCCUCCAAGCACACUUCCUGUUAUAUCUUUAUGCUCAAGAUGGGGUCACAUGCUUUGAUCUAGACCAGACCUGGGCCCACCUUCCCUGAGAUCCAAGGACCCCAAUGUGAAAUAAACAAAUCAGAAUUCUCCUAGCAAAAGAGUAGGAAAGUUUCUGGAGGAAUCAACAAAUGUAUCCUAUGCUCACCAUACAACUUCCUUAAGCAGACACCUACCAGGGAAGCUUGGACUCAAGCAGCCCCACUUCCUUCCCUGAGCCCACCUCCCCGCCCCAGCAGAGGUGGGUAUCUUCUCCUAGGUUGGCACAGACACUUGGUCACAUAACUGAAUAU